AGUGCACAGCAGGCACAACAGGCCACCCAGAGGCCCAUGAAAUUUGCACGCCCCAGCUCUAGAGGCUGGUCCUGGUUUCCAGGGACACCAGCCAACCUCACAGCCCGAGGGCACCGUUUUCCUGAAGGAGCACCUCUUCAGUGGCUGCAGUACCUUUGCUCAGUUCAGUGGUGAAACAGUAAUACCAAGGUUUCAACUCAGGUAAUUCUGGAAGUGGCGUUCCUUGGUCAUGGCGAAGUCGGAAGAAACCCCCUUUGCUGCUUUCAGCAAAGGGGAUUUCCGUGCACAGAUACCCUGUGAGAGCAGCACGGAUGGUGGGCACAAACCGGACCCCUGAGGAGCCAGGCCUCGAUCCUGGGCCCCGAUGACCAGCGCUGGCCACAGGUGAUGUGUUGAGGGGCCCCUCAGUCCCUCCCUGCAUGGCCUGGACUGCUCUCCGGCCACACCCCCCAACUGUCUCCUCCUGGUGGCUCUUACUCACUGUGCGAGAGAGCAUACUCCUUGCUCUCUGCCUCAAAAACCUCUGGCCAACGCGAUGAUGCCUAAAACAGGCGUCGCUACCCUCUCCUGUGGCGCCAGCCCCUUAGAUGACAUCUCAGGAGCCUGUGAUCGGGCCUCAGACCCCCACUCUGCCUUCGCCCCCUCCGUUUUGCCUUUGGACUUGAUGUUCCCGCAGUCUGAUUUACUCAGUGCUCGUGUUGGUUUCCUGUGGAGGCUCUAACAAACUACCACAACUCGAGAGGCUUCCUGCGAUACCAGUGUAUCAUCUUGCAGUUCCGGAAGUCACACGUCCAAAAUGGAACUUGUUAGGUUCAAAUCAAGGUGUUGGCUGGCCUGUGUUCCUUUCUGGAGGCUCUAAAAGAAAAUCCAUUGACUUGCCUUUUACAGCCUCUAGGGGCUGCAUGUACGCCUUAGUCUGUGGCCCUUCCGCCAUCUUGAAAGCCAGCAACACGGGCCAGGAGCUUCUCACUUUGCCAGUGCUCUGGCUCCCCGUCUUCUGCCUCCUCCACUUACAAGAACUUUUAUGAUUAUGUCGAGCCCAACCAGCCAGAUAACUGGAAAAACUUCACCCCUCAAGGUCAUCUGAUUAACCUUAAAUUUCACAU